rnacentral:rRNA from 1 species
GACAGAGGUGCCAAGCGUUAGGCGGAAUCACUGGGCUUAAAGCGUGUGUAGGCGGACUGUUAAGUACCUUGUGAAAUCCCCCGGCUCACCCGGGGAACUGCUGGGCAUACUGGGCGUCUUGGGCCAACUAGGGGCAACUGGAACAAGCGGUGGAGCGGUGAAAUGCGUAGAUAUCGCUUGGAACGCCGAAGGUGAAAACAGGUUGCUGGGGUUGUGCCGACGCUGAGACACGAAAGCCAGGGGAGCAAACGGG